UCAGUUUGAUCAUUUAAUAAGGUGUUGGGAUAAAGUAAAAUAUGGUGACAAAUCUAACAACGUCAAGUAUUUCAAAGAAGAGCAGGUAGGAUGGUAGUCGUGAGGAAAGCAUUAUGAGAUUAAGAAAGAAUGUCAUGUUAAUUGUUCAAAAGAGUAAAUAGAGUACAUUAAUCUCAUACCGGAUAGGAAAGAAAUGGUAUAUAAGCAUUGGUAUUGUAUAUUCGAAUAAGUUAGUUU
rnacentral:lncRNA from 1 species